CGAAGGAUGCAAGCGUUAUCCGGAUUCAUUGGGUUUAAAGGGAGCGUAGGUGGCCUUAUAAGUCAGUGGUGAAAUCCUGUUGCUUAACAACAGAAUUGCCAUUGAUACUGUAGGGCUUGAGUACAGAUGCCGUUGGCGGAAUAUGACAUGUAGUGGUGAAAUACAUAGAGAUGUCAUAGAACACCGAUUGCGAAGGCAGCUGACGAAACUGUAACUGACACUGAGGCUCGAAAGUGCGGGGAUCAAACAGG
rnacentral:rRNA from 1 species